UUAGAUAGUUCAUUCUUGUCCUUGAAGGACAUUCCAAUAAAAAAGUAGGUCCCGUCGUCUUGAAGAUUUCUAGAUUGUGUCGAUUGAGAAGAACUGCACAUCGUAUUGGUCGCAUCAACGGGCGUAGGUGUUUGAUAAUCAUCUGGAAUAUUCAUGUCUAGAUCAUCCAACCUAUCAUCAAAGAAGUCUUCUUUUUCUUC
rnacentral:lncRNA from 1 species